rnacentral:lncRNA from 1 species
AAGUGUUCUUGGGUCUUUAAGAUUGUCAUACAACAAACGAGAACUCUUGCAAAAAAGCACAAAAUAAAUGAACACCUUCCAAUAUAGUAAUUUGCAUAGGCUAAGACUGAUUGGAUCCUAUUAAAGUACAAAUUUCCAGUCAUCAAGUUAACCACAAAUCCUAAUACGUCACGCCAUCUGGAUGGAUCAAGCAUGAUGCAAAAC